ACAGGAAGUCGAGGCCUUCAGUCCAGAGCAGUUCAUUCGCUCCUCUGCACCUUUUCACUGUGGUGCGCAAUC